rnacentral:rRNA from 1 species
AUUGAACGCUGGCGGCAUGCCUUACACAUGCAAGUCGAACGGUAACAGGUCUUCGGAUGCUGACGAGUGGCGAACGGGUGAGUAACGCAUCGGAACGUGCCCAGUAGUGGGGGAUAGCCCGGCGAAAGCCGGAUUAAUACCGCAUACGACCUGAGGGUGAAAGGGGGGGAUCGCAAGACCUCUCGCUAUUGGAGCGGCCGAUGUCAGAUUAGCUAGUUGGUGGGGUAAAGGCCUACCAAGGCAACGAUCUGGAGUUGGUCUGAGAGGACGACCAGCCACACUGGGACUGAGACACGGCCCAGACUCCUACGGGAGGCAGCAGUGGGGAAUUUUGGACAAUGGGCGCAAGCCUGAUCCAGCAAUGCCGCGUGCAGGAAGAAGGCCUUCGGGUUGUAAACUGCUUUUGUCAGGGAAGAAAUCUUCUGGGUUAAUACCUCGGGAGGAUGACGGUACCUGAAGAAUAAGCACCGGCUAACUACGUGCCAGCAGCCGCCGUAAAAC